UCCCUGGUGGUUCAGUGGUUAAGACACCAUAUUUUCACUGCUGAGGGCCCAGGUUCAAUCCCUGGUUGGGGAA